GCGGGAAUAGCUCAGUUGGUAGAGCGCAACCUUGCCAAGGUUGAGGUCGCGGGUCCGAGUCCCGUUUCCCGCUCCA
rnacentral:tRNA from 1 species